CUCAGUGCUGUACAUAAAUCUACCUUCAAGUUGAGCAAUGCACUUCACACCAUACAAUGUCACAAUGAAAAAGUAAGGCACAACGCACAGGGCUAUAUAUUCAUAUCAUUGGGAAAAUGUUGCAAUAUUUUAGCUGUAUUGACCAAGGCUAUCAAGUUCUAAGCUGUAUACAAAUUUGUUUAAAAUUUUCUGUCAUAUGAUAUAUUUUUCUCUUUGGUAUUGUAGCAAUUUCAAAUUUUCAGUAUAGAACAUGUGCAAAGAUAUUAUUCAUAUGAUUGAUUGAUUGAUUGAUGUUUUCCGCCACACUCAACAAUUUUUCAGUUAUAUGGUGGCGCCCAGUUUUUAUUGGUGGAAGAGAGAACCCAGAUACAAUGUACCUGGGAAGAGACCAUCAACCUUCCGAAAGUAAACUGGGAAACUUUCUCACUUAACGGCAUGAGUGGGAUUGGAACCCUCGCCAACAGAGAAUCCUGAAGUGAUCUUGUACAUGUAAAUGCAUGCAGUGGUGGAUUCAGGAUUUGUUAAAGGGGGGAUAGGGCUCCAGGGUUUUGAGGCAUUUUAGAACUAGAUGAGCAGAAGAUGCAUUCCAUGACUGACUCCCCAUAUGAUAUGAAAGAGAGCCCAUGAGAAUGGAACCAACUUUCAGUGUUACAAUGGAUGAACACUCCUCCUGUCACAAGUCCAUCUUGAUUCAGUAAAGUGGUAGUCUAUUUAUCUAGGAAGCAACAAGACGGAUCUGGACAAGGACCAUAUUGACUCAAGUUUUGGUGUCAGAAGACCAUUUUGAUUAAACAUGUUAAAAGCACCACAGAAGUAAGAAGCUAGGAUACCAGUUUUAUAAACUAAAGAGUCGAAAGGCCCAGCUGGAGAGAAAUUCCCAUUUCUCGACCAAGGACAAAAAAAAAAAAAAAAGAUUAAAAAGGUGCUGACUAAGGAGGCAACGUCUCCAGAAGUAACGGAUGAUGAGGAAGCCACCCAGAGGAAGGUCUUACCAUUUAUAUGGGAGUCAUCCCUGCUGCGUAAUGUUAAGUGCGACCUGGACAGAGAGUAUGCUGAAUCUUUGCAACUUCAAUCAAAUAGACAAAAAGCCAAGGCCAUUAGAAGUAGAACGGAAAUGACUAUGACCCCACCACCUAGGAGCAUUCAAGAGUGGGCCGUUUCCUCUACUUAUAAAUGAUGCUAUUACUGUUAAUAGUUAUAUUUAAUUUCCUCAUUUCUAGCUCACCUGAGCCAAAGGCUCAAGGUCACAAUUAAUACUUUUAUACCAUUAUAACCAGUUUUAUGAAAUUUUAAUAAUGCUGUUGAAGGAGAAUUGCAAUUUUUUGGAUGUUUAUAAUUGACACUGUUUAAGUAUGUCUAGCAUCUUAAAAAGUGAGAUGACCUAUAUAUUUCAUUUCAUAAUUUAUUAAUUUUAACUUAAAUUGAAAUAAAUGCAUUUUUGAUACUUUUAUCAGAGAAUAUUGCAAGCAUGGAGUUACCUUGAUAUAUUUAUACAGAUUUGUUCUGCUUUAGUACUAGUGUAUCAGUAUUAUUACAUCAAGUUCAUUUGUGUGAAUAUUAUAAUAUUUAAGAAUGAAUAAAACUGUCAAAUUGUG